rnacentral:piRNA from 1 species
UGCAGCGAACUGCAGUGCCCUUUAGUA